AUGUAUGGUCGUCAGUAUACCUGGGCCAAUAACCGAUCGGUGCCAACCUUUGAAAAACUUGACCGGGUGCUAGUUACCACCGACUGGGAAUAUAAAUAUCCCCUUGCCUCGGUUCGGGCAUUAGAAAGAAUUGAGGCCUUAUCGGAUCACGCUCCAUUGCUCACUGAUUUUGGACAACCAAUCCCAAAUUCUAACUGUCCUCGAUUUAAAUUUGGAUUGGGAGGGCUCACUAGAGAGGGAUUUCACGACCUGGUUAAGAAAGUGUGGGCGUGUCUGCCUCGCCGUAACACACCCAUUCAACGAUGGAAUAAUCGAAUUCGCGCAUUGCGUCGAUUCCUUCGUGGAUGGGCCAAGCAUACUGCUGGCAUCUACAAAAAAGAAAAUCUGCGACUAUCUACCUUAAUUGAUUCCCUUGAUAAAAUAGCGGAGGUGAGGCCUCUGUAG
rnacentral:rRNA from 1 species